GAUGAACGCUGACAGAAUGCUUAACACAUGCAAGUCAUUGGCGAAGCUGCGCUUGCGCAGUCUAGCCAAGGCGGACGGGUGAGUAACGCGUAAGGAACUUGCCCUGCAGACAGGGAUAACAGACGGAAACGACUGAUAACACCUGGUAUUGUCAGGCUGGCGCAUGCCGGCCUGAUGAAAGGAGACGCUGCAGGAGAGCCUUGCGUCCUAUUAGCUAGUUGGUGGGGUAACGGCCCACCAAGGCGAUGAUAGGUAGCCGGCCUGAGAGGGUGAACGGCCACAAGGGGACUGAGAUACGGCCCUUACUCCUACGGGAGGCAGCAGUGGGGAAUAUUGGACAAUGGGGGCAACCCUGAUCCAGCAAUUCUGUGUGCACGAAGAAGGUUUUCGGAUUGUAAAGUGCUUUCAGCAGGGAAGAAGAAAGUGACGGUACCUGCAGGAGAAGCGACGGCUAAAUACGUG
rnacentral:rRNA from 1 species